rnacentral:rRNA from 1 species
AAUAGAUACCCUGGUAGUCCACGCCGUAAACGAUGGAUGCUAGCUAUUGGGGGGAAUCGACCCCCUCCGAAGCGAAGCUAACGCGUUAAGCAUCCCGCCUGAGUAGUACGAGCGCAAGCUUAAAACUCAAAGGAAUUGACGGGGACCCGCACAAGCGGUGGAGUGUGUGGUUUAAUUCGAUGGUAAACGAAGAACCUUACCAAGGUUUGACAUCCCGGUAGCCGUUCUCCGAAAGGAGAAUUUCAUUUAGUUGGACCGGUGACAGGUGAUGCAUGGCCGUCGUCAGCUCGUGUCGUGAGAUGUUGGGUUAAGUCCCGCAACGAGCGCAACCCUUAUGAUUUAGUUGGAUUUUUCUAAACAGACUGCCCUGGUAACAGGGAGGAAGGAGGGGAUGAUGUCAGGUCAGUAUUUCCCUUACACCUUGGGCGACACACGCGCUACAAUGGCCGGUACAAUGGGCAGCUAAGCCGCGAGGUGGAGCAAAUCCCAUCAAAGCCGGUCCCAGUUCGGAUUGCAGGCUGAAACCCGCCUGCAUGAAGCCGGAAUCGCUAGUAACC